UAUUCUAGGGUAAACUUCAAAUACCUCCUUGUAGUUUUACACUUUCUCAUUUUAGUACGUUGUGGUUUAAAGUGUAUUAAGUUAGCCCAUGUGGUUUCACACUUUCUCACUUUAGUAUCCUAUGAUUUAAAGUGUAUCAAGUUAAUACCUUAUAGUUCAAAGUGUAUCAAGUUAAUACCAUACGGUUUUAUUUUUCUCUUUUUAUUAUCCAUUUCACUAAUUUUUUUCGUUAAAUCAGUGACAAAGUUAAAAUUAAAAAGUACUAAAGUGAGAAAGUGUGAAACCAAGGUAGGGUAUCUGAAGUUUUUUGUAUAUAAUUUAACAAAAUAUUAACAGAGGAGCCGAUGAAAAGAGAAAAAGGAAACCACAAGAUGCUAAANAAUACCUUAUAGUUCAAAGUGUAUCAAGUUAAUACCAUACGGUUUUAUUUUUUUUUAUAUAAUUUAACGAAAUAUUAACAGAGGAAAAAAAUUAGUGACAAAGUUAAAACUAAAGAGUACUAAAGUAAAUAUUCAAUAAAACAAGGUAGGGUAUCUGAAGUUUUUUGUAUAUAAUUUAACAAAAUAUUAACAGAGGAGCCGAUGAAAAGAGAAAAAGGAAACCACAAGAUGCUAAAUUGAUGCACUUUAAACCAAAUGGUACAAAAGUGAGAAAAUGCGAAAUCACCGGAUACUAAAUUGAUACACUUUAAACUAUAGAGUACUAAAGUAAAAAAAUACGAAACGAUAGGGGUGGUAUUUGAAGUUUU
rnacentral:lncRNA from 1 species